GUUCCUACUGGUGUGGUGUGGAGAUCAGUGGAGGUUCAGCUGUGGGAACACCGGUCUCCUUGUCAGUCACUGCGGGUGUGUCCACAGUGAGCAGGGCGACUGUACAGAGAGGAGGAUCUGUCACCAUCCUGUGUUCCUAUGACAACAUAUAUAAACAGCAGGUGAAAUACUGGUGCAAAGGGAGUGACUGGAGUUCAUGUAAUCCUAUAGUACGCACUAAUUCUCAAAAGAAAAGUGGUGAAGUGUCAAUCAGCAAUGAUCACACAAAGCAAGUCUUCACUGUGACCAUGAACAAUCUGACAAUUUGGGACUCUGGUUACUACUGGUGUGGUGUGGAGAUCAGCAGAGGUUCAGCUGUGGGAACACGGGUUUACCUGUCAGUCACUCAGGGUGUGUCCACAGUGAGCAGGGCAACUGUACAGAGAGGAGGAUCUGUCACCAUCCCAUGUUUCUAUGACAACAUAUAUCAACAACAUGUGAAAUACUGGUGCAAAGGGUGGGACUGGAGUUCAUGUACUCCCAAAGUACGCACUAAUUCUCCAAAGAAAAGUGGUGAAAUGUCAAUCAGUGAUGAUCCCAAAAAGCAAGUCUUCACUGUGACCAUCAACAAUCUGACAGCUGGGGACUCUGGUUACUACUGGUGUGGUGUGGAGAUCAGCAGAGGUUCAGCUGUGGGAACACCGGUUUCCCUGUCAGUCAUU